rnacentral:rRNA from 1 species
AUUGAACGCUGGCGGCAUGCCUUACACAUGCAAGUCGAACGGCAGCGCGGGAGCAAUCCUGGCGGCGAGUGGCGAACGGGUGAGUAAUAUAUCGGAACGUGCCCAAUAGUGGGGGAUAGCCCGGCGAAAGCCGGAUUAAUACCGCAUACGACCUACGGGUGAAAGGGGGGGAUCGCAAGACCUCUCGCUAUUGGAGCGGCCGAUAUCAGAUUAGGUAGUUGGUGGGGUAAAGGCCUACCAAGCCUGCGAUCUGUAGUUGGUCUGAGAGGACGACCAGCCACACUGGGACUGAGACACGGCCCAGACUCCUACGGGAGGCAGCAGUGGGGAAUUUUGGACAAUGGGCGCAAGCCUGAUCCAGCAAUGCCGCGUGCAGGAAGAAGGCCUUCGGGUUGUAAACUGCUUUUGUCAGGGAAGAAAUCCUCUAGGCUAAUACCUUGGGGGGAUGACGGUACCUGAAGAAUAAGCACCGGCUAACUACGUGCCAGCAGCCGCCGUAAGAC